rnacentral:SRP_RNA from 16 species
AUUAGCCCUGCGGCGGGACAGGGUGAACUCCCCCAGGCCCGAAAGGGAGCAAGGGUAAGCCCGCCGUCCCGUGCGCAGGGUCCUAAAACAA